AGAGUUUGAUCAUGGCUCAGAACGAACGCUGGCGGCGCGCCUAAUACAUGCAAGUCGAGCGAGAAGACGUAGCAAUACGUUUGUAAAGCGGCGAACGGGUGAGGAAUACAUGGGUAACCUACCCUCGAGUGGGGAAUAACUAGCCGAAAGGUUAGCUAAUACCGCAUACGACUCUUGGUCUGCGGAUCGAGAGGGAAAGCGAUACCGUGGGUAUCGCGCUCUUGGAUGGGCUCAUGUCCUAUCAGCUUGUUGGUGAGGUAAUGGCUCACCAAGGCUUCGACGGGUAGCUGGUCUGAGAGGACGAUCAGCCACACUGGCACUGCGACACGGGCCAGACUCCUACGGGAGGCAGCAGUAAGGAGUAUUGCGCAAUGGGCGACAGCCUGACGCAGCGACGCCGCGUGGGGGAUGAAGGUCUUCGGAUUGUAAACCCCUUUCGGCAGGGAAGAUGGAACGGGCAACCGUUCGGACGGUACCUGCAGAAGCAGCCACGGCUAACUUCGUGCCAGCAGCCGCGGUAAUUC
rnacentral:rRNA from 1 species